CGCAAGAGGCUGAAAGUUCCUUCCUCUGCCGUGUCGCGCUUUUCGUCCCAAUUUCCCUUUAUAAUGGCGGUUUUGCCCUAUUCUUCUCUUCCAUCUGUGAAGCCCUAGAACAACACCCUAAAUCACCAACACCUCAAUUCCAAUUUUCCCCUCUCAAUUUCCAUCUAAUCCAUCGCCAAAAAUUUCCCACAUAUUUUCAUACUCUUGGUACUCUUUUUCAUCCACCGCUCGUUUCAGGCUGUUGAGGAGCUCUGAAAUAUAGAUGAGUACUCAAGCAAUGAGGGGAACUACUGCUAGAGGGUAUCAUCGUAGGAAAUCAUUGGAUUUAGACCUAAACAGCAUGCCACCAAGUGAGAACCGAGAUCAAGGGGAGCCAUCUCAAUUGGGGUUGCAGGAAGCACACAGUAAUCAACAACAGCCCUUACAACCUACAAUGAUUGACAUUGAGGCCAUUGAUGAUGAUGUUAUUGAAUCAUCUGCCAGGGCAUUUGCUGAAGCUAAAAAUAAAUCCAGACGGAAUGCUAGGAAGAAUAUAGUUGAUGUGGAUGCAGAAGAGCGAAGCAGGGUGUCAAAUAAUAUUCGGAGCAAGCGCAGGAGGGAAGUGUCAAAUCAACGAACUGUAAAUUCUAAUUUAUUAAUCAAUUUGGAAGCCAGCAACAGCUCUCUGUUGCAGAAAGAGAAGCCUGUUCCACCUAAGGAGCCCAAAUUCAGUUGCCCAAUAUGCAUGGGCCCAUUAGUAGAGGAAACAUCAACAAGGUGUGGUCAUAUUUUCUGCAAGGCGUGCAUUAAAGCUGCAAUAGCCGUGCAGAGUAAAUGCCCUACCUGUAGGAAGAGAGUAACUGCCAAAGAACUCAUUAGAGUGUUCCUUCCUGGGACAAGCUUGGAGUGAGGCUUAUAUGUCUAAGAUUUCUUUCACAAAAUAACAUUGUCUCGAUGGCUAUAGGAUUUUGUUUUGAAGACUUCGAAGGGAAAGUUGAAGUUUUCUUGUAAGUAAGAAAAGCUAAUUUUUGGGUGGAAAUUUCCUAUGCAUUCUGCUGAUGGCUGGCACUGUCUUGAUGAUCUCAGAGUUGCACUAGGGAUAAAGUAGCAGGAAAUUUGGAUUUCCAUAUUUUUUAGUUGUUUACUUGGGUGGUUUUCUGGAGUUGUAAUUGUUAACAAAUGAACAAUGAAAUCCAAUAGUAAUGCAAUGAGAUUACCUAAUUGAAUCCAGAGAAGUUGCUUUUGUUGGUCGACUUCAGGUUGUCUUAUGUAUCUUUUAUUUAUAUAAAUAUAAAUCAUUUUAUGUCUGAUGUGAUGACCAUAUUAAAUACUUGCAUCAA